CCGAAGGUAAAAGGAAUGGAUAAACUUCGACUCAUAUGGCUUGUUCUACUACUUGUUGAAUCAUACACAAAGGCACGUUUUAUAGCACCGAGUUACCAAAUGCGUUUUCGUGCAAUCAAUGUACUAUCAACUCAUAGUAACAACUCAUAUCUCUAGGUUUGAAGAAUAUAAGAUAUUAUCGUCUCAUGAUCACUCGUGAUAAAAUCCAUGAAGUGAUUCCAAUGAGCGCGGGUUGAAUCCAAUACUCAGAACUUAUGAGCACUCAUGAGUGUUGUAGCCCUUUGUCCAACACCUUAGACCUCUACAAGCCAACCCAUGACAGUCUUAAUUCAUAUCUACUUCCAACAUAUGACCGACUGUGGAUGGUUUGAAUAACUUAGUCAUUCCGGAAGAAUAACCCAGUUUAUUCGGGAAGUCAAAACAUGCAAAAUAAAACACAAUAAUAAUUGAAUCCAAUAUGGUAUCAACCCUUUGAACAUAAAUAAAACACCUUUUAUUUAUCACCAUAUGAUUACACAUUAUUCAUUGUAUACUGUUUCAGCUAUCAACUUUAUUCUUGAAUUUAAAACAAUAGUUGUCCCAUGCUCCAAGCAUGUACACUAUGUUUUCUUAAACACUAGUCAUGCCACACACCAAGUAUGCAUACUAUGUUUGUCUAUGAUCUUUACUUUGUGAACUAGAUCAAUUGAACAUAACUUCAAUGAUUCUCUUUUCACACUCCCAAAUCCUUACUGCAAAUGCAAGAAUUCCAAAUUCAUGCCAUUUACAGAAAUCUGUUAGAUUCUAAACUUAUAUGCAUUGAUCCUCUUGUAACGAUUAUGCACAAAGUCACAAAGACUUGGCAACAAUCAUUACAGAGUAUUCCAAAGGAGAUCAACUCCUUGGAAAUAUCCUUCUUGCAUUAAGUUUCCUUAAUCUUACACAGAUUGAAAAUUCUAACUUUGAAACAUUUCCAGAUUCCAUUUUGACUAUCACUUCUGAACAAGAGUUGCCUCCUUACAGAUUAUGUCAAUAUGGUCCUUCCAGAAUUGACUAUCACUUCUAACCAAGAGUUGCCUCCUUACAGACUAUGUCAAUAUGCCUCCUUACAGACAAUUGUUUAAUCCUUUUAGUCAUAUCCAGUUCUAAACCUUUUCCCUUCUUAAUGCCCCAGGCAUUUGGAAAAUUUUAGAAAGGAUGAAUAUAGCACAUGUAAUCGAUCCUAUAUCCGAAGCAUAUGGGACACGAUUCAUGAUGUCUCACAUAAAGACUAAACCAGUCUU
rnacentral:lncRNA from 1 species